UACGAAGGGUGCAAACGUUGCUCGGAAUUAUUGGGCGUAAAGAGCUCGUAGGCGGUUUGUUGCGUCGGCUGUGAAAUCCCGAGGCUCAACCUCGGGUCUGCAGUCGAUACGAGCAAACUAGAGUGUUGCAGGGGAGACUGGAAUUCCUGGUGUAGCGGUGAAAUGUGUAGAGAUCGGGAGGAACACCGGUGGCGAAGGCGGGUCUCUGGGCAAUUCCUGACGCUGAGGCGCGAAAGCGUGGGGAGCAAACGGG
rnacentral:rRNA from 1 species